rnacentral:misc_RNA from 1 species
GAUGAAGAACGCAGCAAAAUGCGAUAAGUAAUGUGAAUUGCAGAAUUCAGUGAAUCAUCGAAUCUUUGAACGCACAUUGCGCCCGCCAGUAUUCUGGCGGGCAUGCCUGUUCGAGCGUCAUUUCAACCCUCAAGCACAGCUUGGUGUUGGGACUCGCGUUAAUUCGCGUUCCUCAAAUUGAUUGGCGGUCACGUCGAGCUUCCAUAGCGUAGUAGUAAAACCCUUGUUACUGGUAAUCGUCGCGGCCACGCCGUUAAACCCCAACUUCUGAAUGUUGACCUCGGAUCAGGUAGGAAUACCCGCUGAGCUUAAGCAUAUCAAUAAGCGGAGGA